rnacentral:rRNA from 1 species
UACGUAGGGGGCGAGCGUUGUCCGGAAUUACUGGGCGUAAAGGGCGUGUAGGCGGCCUGAUAAGUCAGGUGUGAAAUUCCAAGGCUUAACCUUGGAGCUGCACUUGAAACUGUUGGGCUUGAGGGCAGGAGAGGGAAGCGGAAUUCCCAGUGUAGCGGUGAAAUGCGUAGAUAUUGGGAGGAACACCAGUGGCGAAGGCGGCUUCCUGGACUGCACCUGACGCUGAGGCGCGAAAGCUAGGGGAGCGAAC